GGUGAACGCUGGCGGCGUGCCUAAUACAUGCAAGUCGAGCGGACAGACGGUGAGCGUUCGCCUUUACGGUUGGCGGGUGGCGGGCGAGUAAGACGUGGAUAACCAUCUUAUUAUACGUGGGGAAUUACGUGGGGCCGGUUCCAAUACUGGAGAAUACAAUCAACCGGAGGGAGCAAUAGAUAAUCGCGGCUUUGGCGACUGUAUGAGAUGGAGUCGCGCCGGAUUAGCUAGUUGGUAAGGUAACGGCCUACCAAGGCGACGAUGCGUAGCCGAGCUGAGAGGGUGAUCGGCCACACUGGAACUGAGACACGGUCCAGACUCCUACGGGAGGCAGCAGUAGGGAAUAUUCGGCAAUGGGCGAAAGCCUGACGGAGCAAUGCCGCGUGAGUGAUGAAGGUCUUCGGAUCGUAAAGCUCUGUUAUUAGGGAAGAACAGAUGUGUAAGAAACUAUGGACGUCUUGACGGUACCUAAUCAGUAAGCAACGGCUAACUUCGUG
rnacentral:rRNA from 1 species